AUGCAUGAGGCAGCCCAGUCCUCUUUUUUGUUAGCGUUAGAUCAGCUAUUUGGAGGUGAGUCUCUCUCUGUAGGAGACAAAGCCUCAUUGAACAGUGUUGCUCCCCUGCAUCUAUCCGCAGGAAUUCCUUUGGGGGCAACUGUGCCGCUUAGAAUAAAACAAAAAAUUUGGGCCAACAAAUUUGUUGAUAUGCACACUUUACUAUCCGAUUUCCAAGAAGACAAAUUAUCUUUGCAGGUAGAGCAGGGUAGCAUCACUGUUGCAUCCCAAAGGGACAUAUCUGCCUCUAUUGUAAAGACCCCCACCCCAGAUUUCAAUGUUCAAAAGCAAAAAACCCACCCACUCAAUUUGGUGGUCAAUCCACAAAAUCCCAUAAUAAUCUCCAAAAACCCAGAUCUUCCCAGCCCAGUAAACCCGUGUAGUCUCCAUUAUUAUUUAGAUGGUUAUGAUCCACAUCUCAAACAAUACCUGAUUGACGGGUUUUCUCAAGGAUUCAAAUUAGGUUGAGUUACCUCUCCAGAAAAGAGAUAAUGUAAAAAAUUAUUCCUCCAUUCCAAAAAAUUUUGAUCUCGCUCAAGAAAAGUUAAAAGUUGAACUGCAUUUAGGAAGGAUAGAAGGUCCCUUUAAAGAUUUACCAUUUCCUGACUUAGUUUGCUCCCCAUUAGGUUUGAUACCAAAAUCCACACCUGGAAAAUUCAGGUUGAUUCAUGAUUUCUCAUUUCCAGCAUCUGAUUCAGUCAAUUCUCAUAUUCCAGAUGAAGAAGCAAAAGUUCAGUAUGACACCAUCUAUUCAGUUAUAGAAUUGGUUAAAAAGUUUGGUCAGGGCUGUCUAAUGGCAAAAACGGAUUUAGAAGAUGCAUUUCGGGUUAUUC
rnacentral:sRNA from 1 species